UACGUAGGGUGCUAGCGUUGUUCGGAAUCAUUGGGCGUAAAGCGUGUGUAGGUUGUCAGUUAAGUCGGGUGUGAAAUCCCUAGGCUCAACCAAGGAAGUGCAUCCGAAACUAACUGGCUAGAAGAUGGUAGAGGAAGGUGGAAUUCCAAGUGUAGAGGUGAAAUUCGUAGAUAUUUGGAGGAAUACCGGUGGCGAAGGCGGCCUUCUGGACGAUGACUGACGCUGAGACGCGAAAGCGUGGGGAGCAAACAGG
rnacentral:rRNA from 1 species